AUUGAACGCUGGCGGCAGGCCUAACACAUGCAAGUCGAACGAGUGGCGGACGGGUGAGUAAUGUCUGGGAAACUGCCCGAUGGAGGGGGAUAACUACUGGAAACGGUAGCUAAUACCGCAUACCAUCGGAUGUGCCCAGAUGGGAUUAGCUAGUAGGUGGGGUAACGGCUCACCUAGGCGACGAUCCCUAGCUGGUCUGAGAGGAUGACCAGCCAAACUGGAACUGGGAAACGGUACAGACUCCUAAGGGAGGCAGGAGUGGGGAAUAUUGGACAAUGGGCGCAAGCCUGAUAGAGCCAUGCCGGGGGUAUGAAGAAGGCCCUCGGGUUGUAAAGUAAUUUCAGCGAGGAGGCGUUACUCGCAGAAGAAGCACCGGCUAACUCCGUGCCAGCAGCCGCGGUAAUAC
rnacentral:rRNA from 1 species